GACGAACGCUGGCGGCGUGCUUAACACAUGCAAGUCGAACGGUAAGGCCCUUCGGGGUACACGAGUGGCGAACGGGUGAGUAACACGUGGGUGAUCUGCCCUGCACUUCGGGAUAAGCCUGGGAAACUGGGUCUAAUACCGGAUAGGACCCUGGGAUGCAUGUCCUGGGGUGGAAAGCUUUUGCGGUGUGGGAUGGGCCCGCGGCCUAUCAGCUUGUUGGUGGUGUGGUGGCCUAUCAAGGCGACGACGGGUAGCCGGCCUGGGAGGGGGACCGCCCACACUGGGACUGAGAUACGGCCCAGACUCCUACGGGAGGCAGCAGUGGGGAAUGUUGCACAAUGGGCGCAAGCCUGAUGCAGCGACGCCGCGUGAGGGAUGACGGCCUUCGGGUUGUAAACCUCUUUCAGCACCGACGAAGCGCAAGUGACGGUAGGUGCAGAAGAAGGACCGGCCAACUACGUGCCAGCCGCCGCGGUAA
rnacentral:rRNA from 1 species